CCCUUAGAUGUUCUGGGCCGCACGCGUGCUACACUGAGUGGAUCAGCGGGUCAGGUUGCGCGAAAGUGUUUCCUAAUCUUGAAAUCCGCUCGUGAUGGGGAUUGACGGUUGCAAUUUUCCGUCAUGAACGAGGAAUACCUUGUAAGCGCGGGUCAUCAUCCCGCGCUGAAUACGUCCCUGCCCUUUGUACACACCGCCCGUCGCUACUACCGAUUGAAUGGUUUAGUGAGGACUCCUGAUUGGCGCCGCCGCCCCGGCAACGGAGCAGCGGACUGCCGAAAAGUUGUUCAAACUUGAUCAUUUAGAGGAAGUAAAAGUCGUAACA
rnacentral:rRNA from 1 species